UGGAUGCUUUAGUCCUACCAUCUCAGGCCUGGUAUUCGUUAAUCCAAAUUUGUAAAUACGGUGACAUUUUAAUCCAUUUUUAUACGAGUUAUUCCAAAAUAUUACAGAUCCAGAAAAAUUCAGUUAUUGUUAUUACCCUAAAUAUCCUUUUAAUGUUUUUGAUGUUUUGUAGAGAGAGAAACAAAUCAGUUGCAGAGAAAAUAGAUCUAGGUUUUCUUGUUAUUCUACCUCCUUCCCUUCGUCUGCUUCUAUUACAAUUGAUCAUAAAAAAUAUGAUCCAAUAGAUAGCGUAACCAAAUAUAUCAGUUCAACAAUUUCAUUGGAGAUUUCGCAAAAAGGAACUAUUGGAUUGGGUCUUCGAAAUUUUGAAGGAGAAAUUAAAUAAAACAUAGACGUAAAGGAGAUUGAGAAGAAGCAUUAGAAGGAAAGUUGGGUUAUAUGGAUUAUUUUUUCCGCUACAAUCAAAACCGGAGAUGUUGAGAAAGGGACUAUCGUUGAAUAGAUGAUUGAAGAAGUAGUGAGGGACAGUGAUCAUUUAAGGAGCUUAAUUAAUAUUUUGUGUAGCUAAAAGGAAAGUGGGUGUAACUUCCUUAAAUGACACAAGCUCAAGAUCACACCAGGUUAUAAGCUGGUGUCCCAUGUACUAUCACUUUAACCUUGCAUUUCUGGUGUGGCUCCAACUUCUAUCUUUUGAUGGGGAGACAUGGAAAGACCGGAUCAUUUUGUAGGCGUGUAUAUAAUUGUACAAGAUGAUGCAACGCGGUGCAAGGGGUGUACACAUUGGUGCACUGGUGUAUUUUCAAUGAAAAAGUAGGUUUGUUUGUGGCUACGAAGGAUUGGUUUUAGGAAUGUUUCACAUGGAUGAAUAUAUUGAUGCACCAAUAUACUUCUCAUGAAAAAGUUAUCUGCUAAACUUACCUCUACAAAUCUAGUUGUUAUCCAACUGGAGCUUGGCAUGGUUGAUAGUUUUUUGUCUGUGUGGACUAGGAUGGCAGUUUGGCAUAAUUGGAUUUUUUUUGGAUCUUUGCAGCGGUGUACAUAAUUGUACACACAAAUGUAAAUUAAUUUUUUUAAAAUUAAAAUUAUAUAGUCAUAUGUGUACUCUUUUUGUAGC